UCAAACCUAUUAAUGCACAAAGAGUUAAUACCGCCUCCACUAAGGCUCGAUCUCAUGACCUUCCAUAUGGGAGAGUCACUAAAUGCCAUCUAAACACAAGGUGCUUGGCAAA